CGGGAGGCAGCAGUGGGGAAUAUUGCACAAUGGGGAAACCCUGAUGCAGCAACGCCGCGUGGAGGAUGACACAUUUCGGUGCGUAAACUCCUUUUAUAUGGGAAGAUAAUGACGGUACCAUAUGAAUAAGCACCGGCUAACUCCG
rnacentral:rRNA from 1 species